CAGGUCCCUGCAGCCCUGGCCCUCUGGCCCAGUUGCAGAGCCGCCAGCGCGACUACAAGCUGGCUGCCCUCCACGCCAAGCAGCAGGGAGAUACCACUGCUGCCGCUAGACACUUCCGCGUGGCUAAGAGCUUUGAUGCUGUCUUGGAGGCCCUGAGCCGGGGUGAACCCGUGGACCUCUCCUGCCUGCCCCCUCCACCCGACCAGCUGCCCCCAGACCCACCGUCACCACCGUC
rnacentral:lncRNA from 1 species